UACGAAGGGGGCUAGCGUUGCUCGGAAUCACUGGGCGUAAAGGGUGCGUAGGCGGGUCUUUAAGUCAGGGGUGAAAUCCUGGAGCUCAACUCCAGAACUGCCUUUGAUACUGAAGGUCUUGAGUAUGGGAGAGGUGAGUGGAACUGCGAGUGUAGAGGCGAAAUUCGUAGAUAUUCGCAAGAACACCAGUGGCGAAGGCGGCUCACUGGCCCAUUACUGACGCUGAGGCACGAAAGCGUGGGGAGCAAACAGG
rnacentral:rRNA from 1 species